rnacentral:misc_RNA from 1 species
AUGAUUUUCCCUUGCAAGUUUUUCUAUGUCAGAUGUCUGCACAGCUAAUUUAUCCUCUAAUAAUUCAAGAGACUUGUGGCCGACCGCAGAAUCUGAUCCAGGAAAUGGUCCAUGGCGCAUCAACCCUGGAGCCUUAACAGGACGGCCAUUGUAUAGCGGUUGAAGUGUUUCCCUUGUGGACAUUUAUGAUUUAUCUGAAGUACUGGUUUCACAAGUUAGAGUCUUCUCCUUCAGAUUGACGCCUAUAUUCA